GGCUCCAUUUCCACCCACUUCCCUCCUCCCCAGACACUGCUCUUCCCUUUCCUUCUCUCAUCACGAGUUAUUUUUCCUCCACAGAGUGAAUAUUGGAAAUGCCUUUGAAUACCAGCAAUGAGAAUUCCUGGGGAAUGAACCAUGGCAGGCAUCAUGGACUCUGCAAAAGGGCUCAGGAACAAGUUAAUGCUGAGCUGGCCUUGCCCUUUGAGGCUCCAUGCCCAACGUGGGGCUUGAACUCACGACCUUGAGAUCAAGAGUCACACGCUCUACUGACUGAGCCAGCCAGAUGCCCCAAGAAUCUCCUCUUUAAAACAAGCCUAAAUCCUGCAUUCCUAUUGGAAGUAGAAGCACAUUUCUCCAAAGGAGGCAGAGAGUAAACAACUGCUUACUAUCUUUGUAACAGGAAUCUUUCAACAUAUACCACCACAUACCCAGUAUUUCCCUAGCCUCGUUCUCUGAGCACCCACCCCUUGGAGCUAGGGACCGAACUCAACAGAGGACUCACCCUUAUCAUCACUAAGAUUCUGAGAGGGCUGAAUGUUCUUGGUUGGAAAAGACAACUAAGAAGGGAAGGCAUUCCAGGUUAGAAAGCAGGAUGGUUCAGACUCUACUCAUGAGCACCUAGUUUAUGGCAAGAUUGAGAAGCAACUCCACAUGAGUUAGGCAAGUCGGUCUCCUCUCUGGGCCGCAGUGACUUAAAUGAACCAAGUUCCUUUUGGCUCUGAAUUCUCUGAGAGACGCAGAUGCUCUCCCUCGGGGGGGAUUUUAAGUGGCCUGCUGCGAGGCCUCUUGAGUCAGCGGCAGGGGCUGCAUUACCUGCAUGGUCUGGCCUUGAAGAUGCAGGCGAUCUUUGCAAGCCACCUCAUAGAAGUCGUAAUACUCCAGGAAGGACUUCUCCAUCACCCCUCUGGAAAACAAGCAGCAAAGCUUAAGUUAGUGGUUAAGUGGUGGGGAAGGGAUCAACCCUUCACCAUCUAACCUUACUGUCCAAUUAGAGUUCCCAAGCCCAGAUUUGGUAUCUCACAAAGACCUUCUUCUUUUUUUUUCCCCCAAUGAUUUCAGAGAUUGAGAGAGAGAGAGAGAGAGAGAGAGAGAGCAUGAGGGGCAGAGGGAGAGCAAAUCUCAAGCAGACUCUAUGCUGAGUGUGGAGCCCGACUCGGGGCUCAACCUCAUGGCCUGAGCUGAAACCAAGAGUCAGACGCUCUACUGACUGGGUCACCCAUGUGCCCCCCUCACAAAGAUCUUUCAAUGGAAAAUGUCAAAAAGAACAGCUGACAGCCCAAGGCUGAUUUCUCUUAUACCUUAGGGAUUAAAAGGAGGGUGACUGUUAAUACAGAUCAUUUGAAUCCCAACUUUCAACUCAUGACUCAAUCUCAUUUGUUUUCCAUAGGCCAUCCCUAAUCCCAGACCUUACUCAAAAUUCUUCCAGAAGUUUGUUUCAAUAACUCUGACUUUGUUCAUCUAGUCUGAACACUUACGAAUGAACUCGAACACUGAGAAGUGGAUUCACAUUAUGAAGGGCUCUACACCUCAUUUGGCUACAGAACAAAGAAGGAUCUUCAGUAGGUCCAGGCUCUUAUCAAACUAGGGGCUCCCUAUGGGUAUGGACUAUGUCUUUCCCACUGGGCUUGGCACUCUCCUAGAACAGAGCAGCUCUCCGAACUUCCUCGAGAGACCCUCAGCCACCACUCCUGGAAAGCACGGACUACAGCUUUCAUUUUUCUGUAUCUCCCCUGGUGCCCAACAGUGGAUUUUGCCCCAAAGGUUCUCAAAGGGUUCCACCAUCACUGAAAGAAAUUACUAUGAAUCUAUCAGAAGUAGAACUUGAAGUUUCCAAAAGAAAACUCCAAGGCUGAUUGAGAAAGCCACUAUGAAAGUGGGGUACAGACGGAAGGGAGUACAGUCUUCCAUCCUUUAACCCCUCCUUUACUCUUCAAUGCUCCUCCUACCACCAACCCGGCAACCAGAACCUUGGCCUCUGAUUAAAACACAUCAUGAACAGGAAAGACAUACAUACCCUCAGUCUACUACCAUGGUCUCCAAAAUGCACCACCGUGAGAUCACAGGGGUGCUGUGGGAUAUGUUUAACUUUUUGAAGAAAACCACAGUAUUCACCACCUGUCAAACACCGUGGAAACUACAAGCUUGAGCUCAGUGGGUCAGUUCUGAUUUUAAACUGCAUUAUAGUCCUUUCGAUGACACAUUAUCUUUGUGAAGCUGGAUUGUCAAUCACUACGUUGAUAAAUAGCAGGUAGCGUAUGAAAACAGUGGGGACGAGAAAUGAGGGUGGUGGAUCCGAUCGGAUUCCAAGAUCUUCAAAGUUGUGUGGUGCCCGACAAGUAUACCCUUUCUGUCUUUAAGCCAUUUUAGUUAUUUAAGGAAGAAGUGAGUUGUCUGGACCUAACUGCUUAAGAAACGAACAGCUGGGCACUUCCUUCUGCCUGGGGAGCUGUGAAAAAGCCACCUAGAUACCAGGGACUGUGAACCAAUAAUGUUUGGGAGUAUUAAGAAUAAAAAUCGCAUCUCUUGAAUUGCCAAACAAAGGAAAGACCUUAAAAUCAGCUCCUUGGUUAGCCAAUGAGGCCCUUUUCCAU